rnacentral:rRNA from 1 species
GGGCUCGCGUACCAUUAGCUUGUUGGUAGGGUAAUGGCCUACCAAGGCGACGAUGGUUAGCUGGUCUGAGAGGAUGAUCAGCCACACUGGAACUGAAACACGGUCCAGACUCCUACGGGAGGCAGCAGUGAGGAAUUUUGCGCAAUGGGGGAAACCCUGACGCAGCAACGCCGCGUGAGUGAAGAAGGCCUUCGGGUCGUAAAGCUCUGUCAAGUGGGGAAUGAUGGUACCACUGGAGGAAGCACCGGCUAACUCCGUGCCAGCAGCCGCGGUAAUACGGAGGGUGCAAGCGUUGUUCGGAAUUACUGGGCGUAAAGAGCGUGUAGGCGGUUUGGCAAGUCAGAUGUGAGAGCCCCGGGCUCAACCCGGGAAGUGCAUUUGAAACUGCCAUACUUGAGUAUGGGAGAGGAGAGUGGAAUUCCCAGUGUAGAGGUGAAAUUCGUAGAU